GACGAACGCUGGCGGCGUGCUUAACACAUGCAAGUCGAACGGAAAGGCCCUGCUUUUGUGGGGUGCUCGAGUGGCGAACGGGUGAGUAACACGUGAGUAACCUGCCCUUGACUUUGGGAUAACUUCAGGAAACUGGGGCUAAUACCGGAUAGGAGCUCCUGCUGCACGGUGGGGGUUGGAAAGUUUCGGCGGUUGGGGAUGGACUCGCGGCUUAUCCGCUUGUUGGUGGGGUAGUGGCUUACCAAGGCUUUGACGGGUAGCCGGCCUGAGAGGGUGACCGGGCACAUUGGGACUGCGGUACGGCCCAGACUCCUACGGGAGGCAGCAGUGGGGAAUAUUGCACAAUGGGCGGAAGCCUGAGGCAGCAACGCCGCGUGCGGGAUGACGGCCUUCGGGUUGUAAACCGCUUUCGCCUGUGACGAAGCGUGAGUGACGGUAAUGGGUAAAGAAGCACCGGCUAACUACGUG
rnacentral:rRNA from 1 species